AUGAUUUUAGGUAUUAGAGAAUACAGUGAUGUAGAAGACAGAAUUUCUGCGUUAAAGAAGUUGAAGUUCUGAUGGUUGAGCAUAAUAAAACAAUUUCAGAUGUCGAUAACUGAUAUGAAAGUGCUCCUAUAGUAGAGAGCAUAAUGAAACUUUAGUCACAGUAGUUGGGAAAAGCCUUGCUGGAGGAGGUGACUUUUCAGAGAAAUAAUAGAUCAAAGGAAUCAAUCAUCAAUAUUGUCAUGUUCACUUUAUUGUCAUGGUCUGGAACUGAACCCACAGUAUCUCUAAGGUAUGCCUGUAUUAGAAGGUAAGUUUAAAAUAAGUGAUCUACUGUGGUUUGAAUGUCCCCUCAUGGCUGGGUUGGUACCAUUAUGAAAGGGUGAGUUUGUUCCCCUGUUAGGCUCUUGCCCUUUUGCUUUCCAUCAUGGGAUAAUGCAGCAAGAAGGCACUCACAAGAUGCCAACUCCUCAAUCUUGGACUUCCCAGCCUCCAGAGCUGUGAUGAAAAUAAAUUUCUGUUUUUUAUAAACUACCCAGUUUGUGGUAUUCUGUUACAGCAGCACAGAAUAGACUAAGAAAUGGUCUAUGCUUUGGCCUUGUCUUAGGGUUUAGUCUGGGAAACAGAACCAAUAUGAGUGUUAUGGAAAAGGGAUUUACUGUAGGUAUUAGACCUUACACAAUUAUGAGUGGAACUAGGAAAGUGAAGAUCCAAAAAGAGGGAAUUAGAGGAUCAGAAAAGGAGUCACUACUCAGUCCUCCUGAAGCACUGGCAUAGGUGAGCAAGUGAGAUCUUAAAGGAAAUUUCUGAGAAGCCAAGCACUUUUGGCCACCAAAGUGGGAAUGUGAGGAGAAUUUGCCUCAGAAUAGCUACUGUCUCUGUAGGUUCCCGUCAAGAUGUCUGCUAGUGGGCCUAGUGCUGCUCUUGGUCAGGUGGACUAGCAGGCAGGAACAAGAGGAAAGGAGAGUCAGAACAAGCUGGAAACUGCUGGACUGCUUUACAUUUGUCUAACACCUUAUCUGACCUUCAGAAAAUAAUGGCCAUUUCUUUUACUUCCACCUUCCAAAUCUCAAGCAACUUCCUCUUCAGGCCAACCCUAACUGGGAUGCAUACAGGAAAUAGAAUUCUGGGAAAUAACGUUCCUAGUUUAACCAUGUUGUGACAAUACAGUGACCACACACAGUUCACCUUUUGCUUGGCCUUCACACACUCUUUUUAACUUUACUUCCAAAUAAGGAAAAUAGCAAAAUGCUUCUGUCUACCAUGAUGUAGGUAUCUAUGGAACAACUGAAAACAUGCUAUCUUCUCCCUGGGAAAGGAUAUACAAGAGGAAGAAAGAAAUGGCAUCCAAAUAGAAAGGAAGAAGUCAAAUUAUCCUUGCAGAUGAUAUGAUCUUGUAUUUGGAAAAAACUAUAUACUCCACUAAAAGACUAUUAGAAUUUAUCAACAGAUUCAGUCAAGUUGCAGGAUACAAAAUCAAAAUACAAAAAUCAGUAGCAAUUUUGUAAGCCAACUGCAAACAAUCUGAAAAAUCAAGAAAGGAGUCCCAUUUACAAUAGUGACAAAUAAAAUUAAAUACCUGAGAAUUAACCACAGAAGUGAAAGAUUUCUACAAUGAAAACUAUAAAACAUUGGUGAGGGAGAUUGAAGAGUACACAAAGAAAUGGAAAAAUAUUCCAUGUUUAUGGACUGGAAGAAUCAAUAUUGUUAAAAUGCCUAUACUACUCAAUCUAUAGAUUCAAUGCAAUUGCUAUCCUAAUACCAAUGACAUUUUUCACAGAAAUAGAAAAAAAAAA
ensembl:lncRNA